rnacentral:rRNA from 1 species
AGUCGAGCGCGAAUAGGGAAACCUUAGUAGAGCGGCGCACGGGUGCGUAACACGUGGAUAAUCUGCCUGGAUGCCUGGGAUAACCAGUCGAAAGAUUGGCUAAUACCGGAUAAGCCCACGGUUUCUUCGGAGACUGAGGGAAAAGGUGGCCUCUGUAUACAAGCUAUCACAACCAGAUGAGUCCGCGGCCCAUCAGCUAGUUGGCGGGGUAAUGGCCCACCAAGGCAACGACGGGUAGCUGGUCUGAGAGGACGAUCAGCCACACUGGAACUGAGACACGGUCCAGACUCCUACGGGAGGCAGCAGUGGGGAAUUUUGCGCAAUGGGCGAAAGCCUGACGCAGCAACGCCGCGUGUGUGAUGAAGGUCUUCGGAUUGUAAAGCACUUUCGACCGGGACGAAAACCCGUAGCCCAACACGCUACGGCUUGACGGUACCGGGAGAAGAAGCACCGGCUAACUCUGUGCCAGCAGCCGCGGUAAUACAGAGGGUGCAAGCGUUGUUCGGAAUUAUUGGGCGUAAAGCGCGUGUAGGCGGCGUGACAAGUCGGGUGUGAAAGCCCUCAGCUCAACUGAGGAAGUGCGCCCGAAACUGUCGUGCUUGAGUGCCGGAGAGGGUGGCGGAAUUCCCCAAGUAGAGGUGAAAUUCGUAGAUAUGGGGAGGAACACCGGUGGCGAAGGCGG